GCCCCUGUGGCCCAGUGGUAAGGCGUUACAUUGGUAAUGUAAAGAUCCCGAGUUCAAAUCUCGGCAGGGGCU
rnacentral:tRNA from 1 species